CAGCCGCCGCGGUAAUACGUAGGGGGCAAGCGUUGUCCGGAAUAAUUGGGCGUAAAGGGCGCGUAGGCGGCAAGGCAAGUCAGCAGUGGAAGUCCCAUUUUCAAGGUGGGGAGGGCUGUUGAAACUGCGUUGCUUGAGUGCAGGAGAGGUUAUCGGAAUUCCCGGUGUAGCGGUGAAAUGCGUAGAGAUCGGGAGGAACACCAGUGGCGAAGGCGGGUAACUGGACUGCAACUGACGCUGAGGCGCGAAAGUGUGGGGAGCAAACAGGAUUAGAUACCCUGGUAGUCCACACUGUAAACGAUGAAUGCUAGGUGUAGGGGGUAUCGACCCCUUCUGUGCCGGAGUAAACACAAUAAGCAUUCCGCCUGGGGAGUACGGUCGCAAGAUUAAAACUCAAAGGAAUUGACGGGGGCCCGCACAAGCAGCGGAGCAUGUGGUUUAAUUCGAAGCAACGCGAAGAACCUUACCAGGUCUUGACAUCCAGGUAAAGCUUGAGAGAUCAGGUGUGCCUUCGGGCGAUCUGAGACAGGUGGUGCAUGGCC
rnacentral:rRNA from 1 species